rnacentral:lncRNA from 1 species
AGCUGCGUGCUGACAUUGCGCAGGUAACACGUGCCGGAGGCCAGACAUGCAAUAUAGGCUCAUGACACUGACUGAUAAUUGUGUAGUGAUGUCCUUGGUUUACCUUAGAGCCGUUUGGUAUCUAUUUGGGACAAGUAGGAACGCUUUAGCAAACUUUAUUCCACCUUUUCCCCUGACAGUCUACUGAAUUGAUUCUUUUCCUAGUCUUUGGUUUCUGGCACAUUCUGGUUUAAGGAUUUUGGCGUGCUGCAGCCCAAGGGUGUUAGAAACCCUCUGAAAGUAAUAGCCAUGACUCAGCAGAAAGUCUUUCCUCGGCUUGAACGACUUAUUCAGCUGUUGGAGGAAACCAAAGCACUUGGCCAGUCGACCAGCACACAGCGGCAGCAGAGCUCUGGUACAAUAACCUCAUUUAUGCCUUAUUACAGAAAAGUUAAUCAUGCUUUUAUUUCAGUUGCAAAAUGUUUCUCAAAAGGGAAGCAGGUGUUCGGGCGAGACAGUGCUUCCAGAGCGUGGACCGAAUCUGUGUCUGUUGUGAAAGGUGUCUCAACUCAGUCCUUUAAAGAUCAAAUGAAGGCUCAGUCUUCAAGUGAACAGAAUGCCACGGUGCCCUCUCUUCCUCUGUCAAACCCAUCUUACACUCAGAAAAGCCAGGAAAAAACACAGCUGAACCACAGCCAGGAUGUCCAAUCUCUCCAGGAACCUGGUCUGUCCGCACACAUCAGUAUCCCACAGCUAGCAGGUCAGAGUGUUUUACUUGAGAGCUUUGAGCUGAACCAGUGUAUGUUUAAGACUCGUAGGUUCUUUUAACCAUGAAGGUCACAUUUGAACCACAGGAGCACACUGAUGCAAAAACGUGAUUUGUUACAUUGCUUUAACACAUGACUCAAGGUGUUAUUGGGGCUAUUAGCAUGUUUUCUAAGGCAGCC